rnacentral:rRNA from 1 species
AUGAACGCUGGCGGCGUGCCUAAUACCUGCAAGUCGAGCGAACAGACGAGAAGCUUGCUCCUCUGACGUUAGCGGCGGACGGGUGAGUAACACGUGGAUAACCUACCUAUAAGACUGGGAUAACUUCGGGAAACCGGAGCUAAUACCGGAUAAUAUAUUGAACCGCAUGGUUCAAUAGUGAAAGACGGUUUUGCUGUCACUUAUAGAUGGAUCCGCGCCGCAUUAGCUAGUUGGUAAGGUAACGGCUUACCAAGGCAACGAUGCGUAGCCGACCUGAGAGGGUGAUCGGCCACACUGGAACUGAGACACGGUCCAGACUCCUACGGGAGGCAGCAGUAGGGAAUCUUCCGCAAUGGGCGAAAGCCUGACGGAGCAACGCCGCGUGAGUGAUGAAGGUCUUCGGAUCGUAAAACUCUGUUAUUAGGGAAGAACAAAUGUGUAAGUAACUAUGCACGUCUUGACGGUACCUAAUCAGAAAGCCACGGCUAACUACGUG